GACGAACGCUGGCGGCGUGCUUAACACAUGCAAGUCGAACGGAAAGGCCCUGCUUUUGUGGGGUGCUCGAGUGGCGAACGGGUGAGUAACACGUGAGUAACCUGCCCUUGACUUUGGGAUAACUUCAGGAAACUGGGGCUAAUACCGGAUAGGAGCUCCUGCUGCAUGGUGGGGGUUGGAAAGUUUCGGCGGUUGGGGAUGGACUCGCGGCUUAUCAGCUUGUUGGUGGGGUAGUGGCUUACCAAGGCUUUGACGGGUAGCCGGCCUGAGAGGGUGACCGGCCAACGUGGGACUGAGAUACGGCCCAGACUCCUACGGGAGGCAGGUGUGGGGAAUAUUGCACAAUGGGCGGAAGCCGGAUGCAGCAACGCCGCGUGCGGGAUGACGGCCUUCGGGUUGUAAACCGCUUUCGCCUGUGACGAAGCGUGAGUGACGGUAAUGGGUAAAGAAGCACCGGCUAACUACGUG
rnacentral:rRNA from 1 species